AUGAGUUGGAUCGCAGUCUCGCGAUAUCAUGUCGCGGUGAAUACGUUCUCGGGGUUUGACCACCGCCCGUCAACCCGAAAGUUGGGAUACUCGAAAACGGCUACCUAACUUCUUCUCAAAAGGGACCGACCUCGCCGCGGAUGAUUGACACUAUCGGCUCGACGUC
rnacentral:rRNA from 1 species